ACGGGUGAGUAACGCGUGGGAAUCUACCGUACCCUACGGAAUAGCUCUGGGAAACUGGAAGUAAUACCGUAUACGCCCUAACGGGGAAAGAUUUAUCGGGGUAUGAUGAGCCCGCGUUGGAUUAGCUAGUUGGUGGGGUAAAGGCCUACCAAGGCGACGAUCCAUAGCUGGUCUGAGAGGAUGAUCAGCCACAUUGGGACUGAGACACGGCCCAAACUCCUACGGGAGGCGGCAGUGGGGAAUAUUGGACAAUGGGCGCAAGCCUGAUCCAGCCAUGCCGCGUGAGUGAUGAAGGUCUUAGGAUUGUAAAGCUCUUUCAACGGUGAAGAUAAUGACGGUAACCGUAGAAGAAGCCCCGGCUAACUUCGUGCCAGCAGCCGCGGUAAUACGAAGGGGGCUAGCGUUGUUCGGAAUUACUGGGCGUAAAGCGCACGUAGGCGGGUAUUUAAGUCAGGGGUGAAAUCCCGCAGCUCAACUGCGGAACUGCCUUUGAUACUGGGUAUCUUGAGUAUGGAAGAGGUAAGUGGAAUUGCGAGUGUAGAGGUGAAAUUCGUAGA
rnacentral:rRNA from 1 species